rnacentral:rRNA from 1 species
UACGUAGGGGGCAAGCGUUGUCCGGAUUAUUGGGCGUAAAGAGCGUGUAGGCGGCUAGGUAGGUCCGUUGUGAAAACUCGAGCUCAACCUCGAGACGCCGGUGGAAACCAUCUAGCUAGAGUCCGGAAGAGGAGAGUGGAAUUCCUGGUGUAGCGGUGAAAUGCGCAGAUAUCAGGAAGAACACCCGUGGCGAAGGCGGCUCGUCUGGGACGUGACUGACGCUGAGACGCGAAAGCGUGGGGAGCGAACAGG